AGUUCGAUCAUGGCUCAGAUUGAACGCUGGCGGAUGCUUUACACAUGCAAGCUCGAACGGCAGCACGGACUUCGGUCUGGUGGCGAGUGGCGAACGGGUGAGUAAUGUAUCGGAACGUGCCUAGUAGCGGGGGAUAACUACGCGAAAGCGUAGCUAAUACCGCAUACGCCCUUCGGGGAAAGCGGGGGACCUUCGGGCCUCGCACUAUUAGAGCGGCCGAUAUCGAUUAGCUGAAGUUGGUGGGGCAACGGCUCACGGGCGCGCGAUGAUCCGUAGCUGGUUUGAGAGGACGACCAGCCAUUACUGGGACUGAGACACGGCCCAGACUCUACGGGAGGCAGCAGUGGGGAAUUCUUGGACAAAUGGGGGAAACCCUGAUCCAGCCAUCCCGCGUGUGCGAUGAAGGCCUCGGGUUGUAAAGCACUUUUGGUGGAAAGAAACGGCACGGGAUAAUACCCCGUGCAACUGACGGUACCUGCAGAAUAAGCACCGGCCAACUACGUGCCAGCAGCCGCGGUAAUACGUAGGGUGCAAGCGUUAAUCGGAAUUACUGGGCGUAAAAGCGUGCGCAGGCGGUUCGGAAAGAAAGAUGUGAAAUCCCAGAGCUUAACUUUGAACUGCAUUUUUAACUACCGAGCUAGAGUGUGUCAGAGGGAGUGUGGAAUUCCGCGUGUAGCAGCAAUGCAGGAUAGUGUGGAUAAUGACCGACGGCGAAGGCGAGUCCCGGAUAGAACACUCUGACGCUCAUGCACGAAAGUGAGCAAACAGGAUUAGAUAAUUCCGGUAGUCCACGCCUCAAACGAUGUCAACUAGCUGUUGGGGCCUUCGGGCCUUGUAGGCGCAGCUAACGCGUGAAGUUGACCGCCCGGGAGUACGGUCGCAAGAUUAAAACCAAAGAACGACGGGACCGCAUGCUGGUGAUGAUGACAAUCUUCGAUGCAAACGCCAAAAACCUUACCUACCCUGACAUGUCUGGAAUCCCGAAGAGAUUUGGGAGUGCUCGCAAGAGAACCGGAACACAGGUGCUGCAUGGCUGUCGUCAGCUCGUGUCGUGAGAUGCUGGUUAAGUCCCGCAAUCGAGUGCAACCCCUGGUCGGCUGAUAAGAAGUAGCGCACUCUGACUGAGAUCGCCGGUGACAAACCCCGGAGGAAGGUGGGGAUGACGUCAAGUCCUCAUGGCCCUUAUGGGUAGGGCUUCACACGUCAUACAAUGGUCGGGACAGGGUCGCCAACUCCGCGAGGGGGAGCAAUCCCAGGUGAAACCCGAUCAGAGGUCUGACCGCAGUCUGCAACUCGACUGCGUGAAGUCGGAAUCGCUAGUAAUCGCGGACGGCACAGCCGCGUGAAUACGUUCCCGGGUCUUGCAGGCUAUCUGCCCGGUCAGCUACCCAUGGGAGUGGGUUUUACCAGAAGUAGUUAGCCUAACCGUAAGGAGGGCGAUUACCACGGUAGAGUUUCAGCGACCGGGUGAAGUCGUACGGCAGUAGGCCUUAGCUAUACCUUGAUGCCCCGCAUAUAACACAACUUGUCCAG
rnacentral:rRNA from 1 species